CCUACGGGGGGCAGCAGUGAGGAAUAUUGGUCAAUGGUCGGGAGACUGAACCAGCCAAGCCGCGUGAGGGAUGAAGGUACAGAGUAUCGUAAACCUCUUUUGUCAGGGAACAAAGCCGGGGACGUGUCCCCGGAUGAGUGUACCUGAAGAAAAAGCAUCGGCUAACUCCGUGCCAGCAGCCGCGGUAAUACGGAGGAUGCGAGGGUUAUCCGGAUUUAUUGGGUUUAAAGGGUGCGCAGGCGGUCUGUUAAGUCAGCGGUAAAAGCUCGGGGAUCAACCCCGGACCGCCGUUGAUACUGGCAGUCUCGAGUUGGAGAGAAGUAUGCGGAAUGCGUGGUGUAGCGGUGAAAUGCAUAGAUAUCGCGAAGAACUCCGAUUGCGAAGGCAGCAUGCCGGCUCCACACUGACGCUGAGGCACGAAAGCGUGGGUAUCGAACAGGAUUAGAUACCCGAGUAGUC
rnacentral:rRNA from 1 species